rnacentral:rRNA from 2 species
AGUCGAGCGGACAGAAGGGAGCUUGCUCCCGGAUGUUAGCGGCGGACGGGUGAGUAACACGUGGGUAACCUGCCUGUAAGACUGGGAUAACUCCGGGAAACCGGAGCUAAUACCGGAUAGUUCCUUGAACCGCAUGGUUCAAGGAUGAAAGACGGUUUCGGCUGUCACUUACAGAUGGACCCGCGGCGCAUUAGCUAGUUGGUGGGGUAAUGGCUCACCAAGGCGACGAUGCGUAGCCGACCUGAGAGGGUGAUCGGCCACACUGGGACUGAGACACGGCCCAGACUCCUACGGGAGGCAGCAGUAGGGAAUCUUCCGCAAUGGACGAAAGUCUGACGGAGCAACGCCGCGUGAGUGAUGAAGGUUUUCGGAUCGUAAAGCUCUGUUGUUAGGGAAGAACAAGUGCGAGAGUAACUGCUCGCACCUUGACGGUACCUAACCAGAAAGCCACGGCUAACUACGUGCCAGCAGCCGCGGUAAUACGUAGGUGGCAAGCGUUGUCCGGAAUUA